rnacentral:rRNA from 1 species
UACAGAGGUCCCAAGCGUUGUUCGGAUUCACUGGGCGUAAAGGGUGCGUAGGCGGGUCUUUAAGUCAGGGGUGAAAUCCCUCGGCUUAACCGGGGAACUGCGUCUGAUACUGGAUGGCUUGAGUUUGGGAGAGGGAUGCGGAAUUCCAGGUGUAGCGGUGAAAUGCGUAGAUAUCUGGAGGAACACCGGUGGCGAAGGCGGCAUCCUGGACCAACACUGACGCUGAGGAGCGAAAGCCAGGGGAGCAAACGGG